AAACGAUAGCUAAUACCGCAUAAGAGUAGAUGUUGCAUGACAUUUGCUUAAAAGGUGCAAUUGCACCACUACCAGAUGGACCUGCGUUGUAUCAGCUAGUUGGUGGGGUAACGGCUCACCAAGGCGACGAUACAUAGCCGACCUGAGAGGGUGAUCGGCCACACUGGGACUGAGACACGGCCCAG
rnacentral:rRNA from 1 species